AAGGCAGUCAAGAUGAUCGCCCUGAGGUAUUUCUCUUCGGGGAGGAAAGUCCGAGCUCCAAAGGAUAAUGCAUCCCGGUAAUGCGGGACGCCCGCUUUGGCGGGCAGGAUCAGAGCUACAGUGACGAUGCCCCACCUCUCGCGAGAGGGGACGGGGAGUGAAACGCCGCAAUCUCUGCAUGGAGCAAGGCCAAAUAGGGGAAGACACUCAAUCGAAAGGUUGGGCGGCGAAGUGAUCCGCUUCGCUAUAUUCUCGGGUAGGCUGCAAGAGUCUAGAAAGCAAUUUCUAGAGUUAGUCAAAUGAUCGUCCACCUCGCCAAUAAAAAAUCGAGGGGUACAAAACUCGGCUUAUUUGACUGCCUUUUAA
rnacentral:RNase_P_RNA from 1 species